rnacentral:rRNA from 1 species
CGUGUAGGCGGUGCGUUAAGUCGAGUGUGAAAUCCCAUGGCUCAACCAUGGAACUGCAUUCGAAACUGACGUGCUUGAGUGUUGGAGAGGAAAGCGGAAUUCCCGGUGUAACAGUGAAAUGUGUAGAUAUCGGGAGGAACACCAGUGGCGAAGGCGGCUUUCUGGACAACUACUGACGCUGAAACGCGAGAGCUAGGGGAGCAAACA